AAACAGAGUUGGAUGAGGUGUCCUCGAAGUGAUAGGUCUUACAACUGUUGCACAGCUGACAUUUCUUGUGUUCUUGCCUUUGCCCACAUAGGAAUACAAUGUUAUUCAACCAAACUAGUUUGGCUGAUUGCUUACAGGAGUGGGAGGGUCUGGAAAAGGACUUUCAACGGGUCCAGGAGACUCACCGUCUGUAUAAACAGAAGCUUGAGGAGGUCUCCAAGCUACAAGACAGCUGUUCCAAUGCCAUAGCACGACAGAGGAAGAAAUUAAAAGAGCUCACGGUGUCGCUGGAAGAAUGCAAAGAAACACUGAGUCCAGAGGAAAUUAAUACAAUAGAUGGGAUCCAGGAAUCUAUCAAGGACAGACCAAAUGUUUUCUUUGAAAUGGAGUCUUUCCUGCCAAAGAAGAAUGGGUUAUACCUCAGUCUCGUUCUUGGGAACGUGAAUGUAACAUUGCUCAACAAACACUCCAAAUUUGCCUACAAAGAUGAAUAUGAGAAAUUCAAAUUGGUCCUCACCGUCCUACUCCUCGUCUUCUCAUUCACAUGUCGCUUUGUAUUCAGUUACAGAGCCUUAGACGCUCUCUUCAACUUCCUGCUGGUGUGGUACUACUGCACACUGACCAUUCGGGAGAGUAUCCUCAUUAGCAAUGGCUCCAGGAUCAAGGGUUGGUGGGUGUUUCAUCACUAUGUGUUCUGCUUCCUGUCUGGAGUGAUGCUGACUUGGCCAGAAGGCAUACUCUACCAGAUGUUCAGGAAUCAGUUUCUCACCUACUGCUUGUACCAAAGUUUUGUCCAGUUUCUCCAGUACUAUUACCAGAGUGGCUGUCUGUACAGACUUCGAGCCCUGGGAGAGAGUCACAACAUGGACUUGACAGUUGUACCACUUGGGGGGAGUGUAUACCCCAAAAAUCUGACUUCUGGCAUGUUGGAGAAAUAAAGAAAAUAAGAGGAAUUAUGGAUGUCACAUGAAAUGGACAAGCUUUUUGGGGAGACUGAACAUGUGAGUUUGUAAGUCUUAAUUCAAAACAUGGGUAGCCAUUUUGAAAGAAAGGCUGUCAAAGUGAUUGAAUUCAAAUGGAUUUACCCAUUUGUCACCUGGAAUGUUUUCUAAAAUGUAAUCAGAAAGCAUAGUACAUUAGGACUAUAUUACAGGUAUCCUGAAUAGUACACUGCAUAGGCUAUGGCCAUAGCUUAAGCCACACCCUAAUAAGGUAAUUUUUUUCCUUCUCUUUAUAUAUUUCAAUUAAAGUAUGUAAAUAAGGCAAUAUAGAUGCACCUAUCCAACCCUUGUUACAUUAUUACCUUGUAGCCUAGUCUUACACCAAGUUAAUGUAAUUGUUUCCUCGGGUCCUUUCUCUGCUCUGGCUGCAGCCAGUAUUGACCUGUCAGACAACGAGUGGCCCCUUGGAGGCAGAGAGUGUGGUCCCGGAGGGCCCUGACGUGGGCCCCUGUUGAGCAGGAACCUCUGUUCAGGAACUUGGACAUAUUCCUCUUUUCGCUCAUCAUUGGCCUACUCAUCUACUGGUUCCUCUCACGCAAGAAGACAGGGGCCAAUCCCAGAAUUCAAGAGGCUCACCACUGUUGAGAGACAGAAUCGCUCCUGCAUCGGCAUAAUUCACUAUGGAGAGGCCAGCCCUUAGUCCGUUCUGAGGGGGCUUCUUCCUCAACUGCUUUAUUGGAUUGUGUCCCACUGUGGAUCAGACAAGUGUUCUGUGCGGCGCUGAAGAACA